rnacentral:tRNA from 1 species
GGGAGUGUAGCUCAGUGGUAGAGCACUUGUUUAGUAUGCAUAAAACCCUGGGUUCAAUUCCUAGUACUGCCA